GUCGAGAAUAAUUCACAAUGGGGGAAACCCUGAUGGUGCAACGCCGCGUGGAGGAUGAAGGUCUUCGGAUUGUAAACUCCUGUCAUCCGAGAGUAAGACCUGGCGGUAAAUAGCCGACAGGGUUGAUAGUAUCGGAAGAGGAAGGGACGGCUAACUUCGUGCCAGCAGCCGCGGUAAUACGAAGGUCCCAAGCGUUGUUCGGAAUCACUGGGCGUAAAGGGAGCGUAGGCGGCAUGUAAGUCAGGGGUGAAAUCCCGGGGCUCAACCCCGGAACUGCACCAGAUACUGCCAUGCUAGAGGGUUGGAGAGGUGACUGGAAUUCUCGGUGUAGCAGUGAAAUGCGUGGAUAUCGAGAGGAACACUCGUGGCGAAGGCGAGUCACUGGACAACAUCUGACGCUGAGGCUCGAAGGCUAGGGGAGCAAAAGGGAUUAGAAACCCGAGUAGUCC
rnacentral:rRNA from 1 species